GAUGAACGCUGGCGGCGUGCCUAACACAUGCAAGUCGAACGAAAAGACGAGGAGCUUGCUCCUUUGACGUUAGCGGCGCACGGGUGAGUAACAUGUGGAUAACCCACCUAUAUGACUGGGAUAACCUCGGGAAACCGGAGCUUAUACCGGAUAAUCUAUUGAACCGCAUGGUUCAAUAGUGAAAGACGGCUUUGCUGUCACUUAUAGCUGGUUCCGCGCCGUAUUAGCUGGUUGGUAGGGUAACGGCUUACAAAGGCGACGAUGCGUAGCCGACCUGAGAGGGUGAUCGGCCACACUGGAACUGAGACAGGGUCCAGACUCCUACGGGAGGCAGCAGUAGGGAAUGUUCCGCAAUGGGCGAAAGCCUGACGGAGCGACGCCGCGUGUGUGAUGGAGGUCUUCGGUUCGUAAAGCUCUCUUAUUGGGGAGGAACAGAUUUGGAAGUAGAUGUGCACUUAGUGACGGUACCGGGUAAAGAAGCACCGGCUAACUACGUG
rnacentral:rRNA from 1 species